UACAGAGGUCCCAAGCGUUGUUCGGAAUUACUGGGCGUAAAGCGCGCGUAGGCGGCUUUGUAAGUUAGAGGUGAAAGCCCGGAGCUCAACUCCGGAAUUGCCUUUAAGACUGCAUCGCUAGAAUCAUGGAGAGGUGAGUGGAAUUCCGAGUGUAGAGGUGAAAUUCGUAGAUAUUCGGAAGAACACCAGUGGCGAAGGCGACUCACUGGACAUGUAUUGACGCUGAGGUGCGAAAGCGUGGGGAGCAAACAGG
rnacentral:rRNA from 1 species